rnacentral:tRNA from 1 species
GUUCUUUUAGCUUAUAUCUCAACCUAAAGCAUAAUAUUGAAAAUAUUAAUAAAUUAAAAAUGAUUUAGAACA